rfam:Salmo salar isolate Sally breed double haploid chromosome ssa09, whole genome shotgun sequence.
UGCAUUCACUACUGUAAGUCGCUCUGGAUAAGAGCGUCUGCCAAAAAAUGAUGUAAA